UGGGGAAUUUUGGACAAUGGGCGCAAGCCUGAUCCAGCAAUGCCGCGUGCAGGAUGAAGGCCUUCGGGUUGUAAACUGCUUUUGUACGGAACGAAAAGCCCUGGGUUAAUACCCUGGGGUCAUGACGGUACCGUAAGAAUAAGCACCGGCUAACUACGUGCCAGCAGCCGCGGUAAUACGUAGGGUGCAAGCGUUAAUCGGAAUUACUGGGCGUAAAGCGUGCGCAGGCGGUUUUGUAAGACAGAGGUGAAAUCCCCGGGCUCAACCUGGGAACUGCCUUUUGUGACUGCAAGGCUAGAGUACGGCAGAGGGGGAUGGAACUCCGCGUGUAGCAGUGAAAUGCGUAGAUAUGCGGAGGAACACCGAUGGCGAAGGCAAUUCCCUGGGCCUGUACUGACGCUCAUGCACGAAAAGCGUGGGGGAGCAAAACAGGAUUAGAUACCCCUGGUAGUCCACGCCCUAAAACGAUGUCAACUGGUUGUUGGGGUCUUAAACUGACUCAGUAACGAAGCUAACGCGUGAAGUUGACGCCUGGGGAGUACGGCCGCAAGGUUGAAACUUAAAAGGAAUUGACGGGGUCAUAGCUGUUUCCU
rnacentral:rRNA from 1 species